rnacentral:lncRNA from 1 species
UGAACCUAGAAAGUGAAAGAUGAAUAAAAAUGAAUUGAUAAGGAUAAACAAACUAAUCACAAGUAAAGCAUGCUGGAGAGCCUUUCUCUGAAAAGAUGCAAGCUUGUUCAAUCUUUCCAUAUCAGUAUCUUGACCUAUGUAAUCAAAAGUUGAAACUUCAAAAGAAAAUCUCCAUGUUUAAUUUGCAUUAAAUUGACAAAUAAUAUCAGUCAAAAUCUAAAACUAGGUCCUGAUACAUGUAAUGAAUUAGGUUUGUAUAUAAUGAUUUAGUUUGGUUUACAAUAUAUAAUACUGUAAUGACUAUUUUGGUUUCCAAGAUAUUAUACUGUAAUGAUUAUUUUGCUUUAGAUGGGAGCAGAUGGUCUAGUUUUGUAGCAGCAGUGCAAGACCCAGAGCAGGAAGAAUCCAGAAGUUAUAGCCUGAAUCUGCAAUAAUAAAUCUGAUAAUAACUACAUAAAAACAUGAACAAAGUAAUUGUGGAAUAAAACACUGGAUGUUAAAGUGUUACAACAACAUGCCAAAGCAAACAGAUAAUCCAGUAUAAGCUCCAUAGAAAAUAAGAACAUACAAGUAUAGAUAAGAAAAUCACAGUCCACCUUAGAAUAACAAGGAGCCUUGGGAUCUAUGUUCAAGAAAUCAUCAUUCAGGUACUCUUCUGCAUCAUCAAACUAGUGAAACUGCCUAAGAUUAAGUGUCUUGUUAGAAAAAACAUGGCAGAGAACAGAGAAGUGUAAGAGUUGAGAAAACUAGAACCUGAAUUUUACUAAAUGGGUGAAAGUGCUUACAUCAAUCAAACCAUGCAGCUUAUAUACAAUAUUUUUUUGUACUACCAAGUUAUCCCCUCACCUUUUUGGGUAAGGAACUAAUCCCUUUCAGGGUUCGUGGCUGCCUCUCUAAACAAAUGUCGCUCGCAAGAAUCGAAACAUCGACAUUGGGAAUCAAGUGGGGGCUUGUUGGUAGCUUAUAUACAAUAUGAGAAAGUAACUGACCUGCAAAUAAUCUAACAGCUUCAACAAAACAUCAUCCAAUACAACUCUGUGUUUAGCCUAGCAAACUUAUAGCUUAUUUGGCAGAUUAUAGCUUAUCGAAAACAGAAAUUGUAAUUUUUAAAAGCUAGCUCCAAAAAGCUAUAAGCUGAAUCAAUAUUUCAUGUCUCAUGUUUUGCCUUAUAAUUUUUCAACAAAUUACAAUUUUCAUUCCCCAAUCUAAUAUUACAGUAUUACAUGUCCUAGAUAAUGAUCCUUGCACACCUAACCGAAAAUAAUAUCAUAGAUAAUGAUGUAAAUCAAAUACUAUUGUCUCUGAAAAAGGUAAAUUCAUAUUGUUCCAUUAUUAAAUUAAAAUUUAAAAUCAAACCUUUCACUUGAAGUUAAGUACAGAAGAAGAAUCCAAUACAUGUUUCAAUCAUUUGCUGCUUCUCUAUGCGAAAAGUAUGAUCAUUUCUCACUACGAUUCAUAUUCGUCUUCGUUCAAUGGUUUUCUUCAUUUUCAUUUGGAAUCUUCUUCGUAAUGUGCAUUUCUUCGUCCUUUUCAUUAUACGACAACUCUUGG